GUGGACAUAGUUUACCUUAAAACCCCAGGCUGUGGACCUGACAAUGAGACUUUACCACUCUCUGCCCACC
rnacentral:tRNA from 1 species